rnacentral:rRNA from 1 species
AGUGAACGCUGGCGGUAGGCCUAACACAUGCAAGUCGAACGGCAGCACAGGAGAGCUUGCUCUCUGGGUGGCGAGUGGCGGACGGGUGAGGAAUACAUCGGAAUCUACCUUUUCGUGGGGGAUAACGUAGGGAAACUUACGCUAAUACCGCAUACGACCUACGGGUGAAAGUGGGGGACCGCAAGGCCUCACGCGAUUAGAUGAGCCGGUGUCCGAUUAGCUAGUUGGCGGGGUAAUGGCCCACCAAGGCGACGAUCGGUAGCUGGUCUGAGGGGAUGAUCAGCCACACUGGAGCUGAGACACGGGCCAGACUCCUACGGGAGGCAGCAGUGGGGAAUAUUGGACAAUGGGCGCAAGCCUGAUCCAGCCAUACCGCGUGGGUGAAGAAGGCCUUCGGGUUGUAAAGCCCUUUUGUUGGGAAAGAAAUCCUGUCGAUUAAUACUCGGUGGGGAUGACGGUACCCAAAGAAUAAGCACCGGCUAACUUCGUGCCAGCCGCCGCAGUAAAAC